ACAAACUUGGUCAUUUAGAGGAAGUAAAAGUCGUAACAAGGUCUCCGUUGGUGAACCAGCGGAGGGAUCAUUAAAGAGUUUUUAACUCCUAAACCCAUGUGAACAUACCAUAUGUUGCCUCGGCAGGUUACAUACGAUCUAUUUAGACUGUGUGUUAAGGCCUGCCGGCGGUCCAUCCAAUGUUAGCUUUUAGAGACUACGUUCUACUAUAUAAAUUAUAUAGGGGUUGUGGAAACUUUGCUAGCUAAUGUUAUACAUUCUGUUUUAUUUUUAAAUUCUGAUGUUAUUUAAAAUAAGUUAAAACUUUCAACAACGGAUCUCUUGGUUCUGGCAUCGAUGAAGAACGCAGC
rnacentral:misc_RNA from 1 species